rnacentral:rRNA from 1 species
CAAAAACAUUUUUUAAUUUAUUAUAUUAAAUAAAACCUGCUCAAUGAAAAUAAAUGGCCGCAGAAAAUUUACUGUGCUAAGGUAGCAUAAUCAAUUGUCUCUUAAUUAGAGACUAGAAUGAAAGGUUUAACAAUUAAACAACUUUUUUUAAAAAUAAAUUUAAUUUAAAAUAAAUAUAAAAAUAUAUUUAUAAAUAUAUCAGACGACAAGACCCCAUCGAACUUAACUGAAGUUAAGCUGGGGAAGCUUAUUAAUAAAAAUUUUAAAUUUUAUACUUAAAUAGAAACCUAAUACAAUUAAAAAACAAUCAAGUUACCGUGGGGAUAACAGCGUAAUAUUUCUUUAAAGCUCUUAUUAAAAGAAAAGCUUACGACCUCGAUGUUGAAUUAUUUUCACUUAAAAGCGCAAGCGCCAAAAAGUAAGUCUGUUCGACUUUUAAAAAUUUACAUGAUCUGAGUAAAAACCGG